UACGUAGGGGGCAAGCGUUGUCCGGAUUCAUUGGGCGUAAAGAGCGUGUAGGCGGCCAGGUAGGUCGGUUGUGAAAACUGGAGGCUCAACCUUCAGAGGUCGACCGAAACCAUCUGGCUAGAGUCCGGGAGAGGAGAGUGGAAUUCCUGGUGUAGCGGUGAAAUGCGCAGAUAUCAAGAGGAACACCGAUGGCGAAGGCAGAUCUCUGGGCCGUAACUGACGCUGAGGAGCGAAAGCGUGGGGAGCGAACAGG
rnacentral:rRNA from 1 species